rnacentral:rRNA from 1 species
UGGGGAAUAUUGGGCAAUGGGCGCAAGCCUGACCCAGCAACGCCGCGUGAAGGAAGAAGGCUUUCGGGUUGUAAACUUCUUUUGUCAGGGACGAAGACGUGACGGUACCUGACGAAUAAGCUCCGGCUAACUACGUGCCAGCAGCCGCGGUAAUACGUAGGGAGCGAGCGUUAUCCGGAUUUACUGGGUGUAAAGGGCGUGUAGGCGGGCUGGCAAGUCAGAUGUGAAAACCAGGGGCUCAACCUCUGGCCUGCAUUUGAAACUGCUGGUCUUGAGUGCUGGAGAGGCAAUCGGAAUUCCGUGUGUAGCGGUGAAAUGCGUAGAUAUACGGAGGAACACCAGUGGCGAAGGCGGAUUGCUGGACAGUAACUGACGCUGAGGCGCGAAAGCGUGGGGAGCAAACA